rnacentral:misc_RNA from 1 species
CAGAGUUGAAAAACUCCCUAAACCCACUGUAAACCUACCUAUGUCGUUGCUUCGGCGGGCAGCCCCAGGGCGGGGCCCAGGCCAUUUUACAGGUGCUCGCCGAUGGCUGUCACAGCAAACUCUUUUAUUAUUUUCAGGUACUCUGAGUGAUGACAAAAUCAGUUAA